rnacentral:tRNA from 1 species
GAGAAUUUAUUUUAAUAAAAAUAUAAAUCUGUCAGAUUUAAGAUACUAAUAAGUAUUUCUUU